GCUGUUAUUUGGACAAGGAUUCACAAUGAACAUGGGUUGGAAUGAAGAGCUUGAGUUUUGUGAGGAAGAAUGGAAGAAAUUCGUGGCGGACAAUAUUGAAAUCGAUUCGAAAUGCAAUAACACUCAUACACGUUGUUGUGUUGAGGAGAAGAAAUAUCUUUUGGAGCGAUUUAAAAUGUUUAAUGAAAUAUGUCCACUUGAAGUUACAAAAGCAAAGUAAUAUGACGGGACAUGUGGAUGCAGCCCGAUUAUUUUGAACUUUACUUUUAAGUUAUUCUCCGAUGAUCGUUAUUAUCGUUAUUAUGGUUAUUUUCCAUCCGCAAAAUGGAAUGAACCAGAAAACUUCACGUGUUCACAUAAGUACAUAAAUGAAAAAAUAAAAAAGACAUAUCCUAAACCUUCUGGUAGAUUUGGAAUCGGACAACACAAAAUCCCUUACAAGUAUGCUUUAUACGGUGGAAAAAAUCACACCUGUUUUGUUGUCAUUAACGUGAACAAAAGAUAUGAUCAAGAUACGAAUGGAUUUUUCAUCAAACAUGUCCAGUCAGGAUUGUGUUCUUAUGGAUUUUUAGGACAUUCACAUAACGAGUCAUGGAGUUGUUUUGACGUGAGAGCUUAUCUUAAAAUUUUACUAUCUGGCUCAAUCAUGGAGGUGUAUGGAUUAAGUUGUCUUGUGAGACAUGGCAACAGAAUUGCUUUGAGGUUACCUUAUGGAAAUUUUAAUGUAGUAUGCGGAGCCAUCAAUGCCAUAACCCAAACGAUUUGGGGUGGUCUAUUAUUUUCACACUAUAAUAAAUGUAUAGCAGGAACUGGCGUCUUGAAACUUGUCAGUUGUAAAAAUGAAGAAG